AAAAGUGGGAAAGGAAAAGACCAGGAAAAAGAAAAAAAGAAAAAAACACUAAGAAGUCGAAAGUAUGCUGAUUUUAAUUCAACGCUUUCAACUGAACGGUUUUCUUUUCCCUUUUU
rnacentral:ribozyme from 14 species